rnacentral:sRNA from 1 species
AUCAUUUGUUCACAUGGAAGUGGAUGUAAAAUGAAGUUAUACUAGAUUUUAACCCGCGGUAUACCGCGGUGACAAUUUAUCUUUUUAAAGUUAGUAUAACUUUUUUUUGCAAAUUAUAUCUGUCUAUAAUAUAUUUUU